rnacentral:rRNA from 1 species
GACGGAGGAUGCAAGCGUUAUCCGGAAUGAUUGGGCGUAAAGCGUCCGCAGGUGGCAGUUCAAGUCUGCUGUCAAAGACCGGGGCUUAACUUCGGAAAGGCAGUGGAAACUGAACAGCUAGAGUAUGGUAGGGGCAGAGGGAAUUCCUGGUGUAGCGGUGAAAUGCGUAGAUAUCAGGAAGAACACCCGUGGCGAAGGCGGCUCACUGGCCCGAUACUGACGCUGAGGCACGAAAGCGUGGGGGAGCAAACAGG